rnacentral:piRNA from 1 species
UGAGUCUAGGCUCAGUUUUGUGUCCUCAUAGU